CCUCAAUGAUGAUUUUACUCCGAAUAUCAGUCAAUUGAGAGGACGAAUCCGCAUGCCGAAGAACCUCGAUUUGGAACAUCAAAUCAAACCCCGGCUCCGGCAUGCAUCCCUUUUACCGUCUUCCAAUGACCUCAAGAUAAAAUCGCGCAGAACAGACAUUACACGAACAAAAAUCUGCCAAGAGCAGUGAACCAACAAAUAUCCAAAUUUUACCAGAAAAAGACGUAUGGCCGGAACUCCAGAGCCCAGACGGCGGCAAAAUUGAUGAAAGAGGGUCGGAUUCUGGUGACAGGGAGUGUUUUCCGGUGAGAUUUCACUGUUUGACUGAUCCCUAUCAUUUUCAGUCCAUUUUGAAAACCCUUUUCUCCUUACUAUGCGUGUACGUUUUUGGGCGGGUGUGUGUGUACUAUGCGUCGACGGCGGUGUUCUUUUCGGUGAGUAUCGAUCCAUCUCAGUGCAAGCAACUACUUGUGAGAUAUAUGUUUGGGGAUACGUACUAUGGUGAUGAAUUUCAUGAGUGUGUCCACGUUAUCCAGAAAAGAAAAAUGAGAAAGAUGGAGUGUUUCCUCUCUAUCUCCUUCACUAGUGAGGAUGAGUGUUAAUAUCCAUGAGCCCCUCAGUGAAUUUUCCCGUGAGAGUAUUAUCUCUUGCUAAUUGUGUGGGAGUGUGAAUUUGUUGUGCUAUGGGGCAAUGAGUGUAUGUGAGGUGUCCUGUUGUGGAAGAAAAAAAUAGAAUCAAUCCGUGGGGCCCCUCCCUUAAUGGAAUUCUCUGUAUAUCCUCUCAAAAUGGAAUAUGGUCUUGUAUAUGUGUGGAGAGUGGACCAAAUCCCU
rnacentral:lncRNA from 1 species